CCUACGGGAGGCAGCAGUGGGGAAUAUUGCACAAUGGGGGAAACCCUGAUGCAGCGACGCCGCGUGAGUGAAGAAGUAUUUCGGUAUGUAAAGCUCUAUCAGCAGGGAAGAAAAUGACGGUAGCUGAGGAAGAAGCACCGGCUAACUACGUGCCAGCAGCCGCGGUACUACGUAGGGGGCACGCGUUAUCCGGAUUUACGGGGUGUAACGGGAGCGUAGACGGCAGCACAAGUCUGGUGGGAAAGCCGGGGGCACAACCCCGGGACUGCGUUGGAAACUGUGUAUCUGGCGUACAGGAGUGGCCGGCGGACUUCCUGGUGUAGCGGUGAAAUGCUUAGAUAUCAGGAGGAACACCCGCGGCGCGGGCGGCCUGCUGGACUGUAACUGACGUUGCGGCUCGAACGCGUGGGGAGCAAACAGGAUUAGAUACCCGGGUAGUC
rnacentral:rRNA from 1 species